AGAGUUUGAUCCUGGCUCAGAUUGAACGCUGGCGGAAUGCUUUACACAUGCAAGUCGAGCGGCAGCGCGGGGGCAACCCUGGCGGCGAGCGGCGAACGGGUGAGUAAUGUAUCGGAACGUACCCAGUCGUGGGGGAUAACUAUCCGAAAGGAUAGCUAAUACCGCAUACGUCCUGAGGGAGAAAGCGGGGGACCGAAAGGCCUCGCGCGAUUGGAGCGGCCGAUAUCGGAUUAGCUAGUUGGUGAGGUAAAGGCUCACCAAGGCGACGAUCCGUAGCUGGUCUGAGAGGACGACCAGCCACACUGGAACUGAGACACGGUCCAGACUCCUACGGGAGGCAGCAGUGGGGAAUUUUGGACAAUGGGGGCAACCCUGAUCCAGCCAUUCCGCGUGAGUGAAGAAGGCCUUCGGGUUGUAAAGCUCUUUCAGCAGGAACGAAAC
rnacentral:rRNA from 1 species